GGGUGGCGGACGUCGAUCGAACUUACCAUCAAAGUAUUGAUUGUAACGGGUCCUCCAAGAGUGAUUACUAGGUAGAAAUCGUCGAUGACCAAUGAAGCAUAUUUUUCAUCCAUGUUUUAAAUAUAAGGAAGAUGCAUCUUUGUUGCAUAUUGGACAUAUUAGAUAUCCUUUGGUGCUCCAUCCAGGUAAGUUUUCAUAUGCAGAAAAAUCAUUUAUGGUCCAU
rnacentral:lncRNA from 1 species